AUGUUGGUGGCUGGCGGCGACGACAAGGUCAUGGCCAACUGGCUUCCCAUGGCCCUCGCGGGCGUGCCGCGCGCCUGGCUACUCAGCUUGCCGGGAUCCUCUGUGGCUUCCUGGGAGGAGAUGCGCGGCCUCUUCAUCGCGCGCUUCGCGGCGCCGAUGCCCCACGCAGUCGCAGCCCUCGGUGGUUCGCAGGCGCCGCCCUUAGACCGCCACGUCAAGCAGUUCUUUCGCCAAGUGGGUGCCACCCGCGUGCAGCAAGGAGCUCCUCCAGGAUGGGCGGCGCCCAAGGCCGACCUCACCAUCGACUUAAGGGACCACCCGACGACCACCGCGGGCGCGGGCGCGCUCCUGAUGCUCCGCACCCCCACCAUCUGCAACGUGGCGGUAACCAAGACCCUCAUCGACAGGGGAGCCAUCCUCAAUGUGCUCUCCAUGGAAGCUUUCGGCCUGCUUCACGUGCCCCAUGGCCGGCUCCGCCCUACGAAGCCUUUCUCUAGGGUUGUCAACGGCCCCACCAGCCCUCUCGGGCAGAUCCGCCUCCCCGUCACCUUCAGCACCCGCGACAACUACCGCACCGAGCUUAUCGACUUCGACAUCACCCGCAUUGGCCUCCCGUACAAUGCCAUCCUCGGGUACCCGGCCCUCGCCAAGUUCAUGGCAGCAACUCAUCCUGCCUACAAUCUCAUGAUGAUGCCGGAGAGCAGCGGCGUCCUUACUGUGGCCGGAGACACCAAGGAAGCCUUGUUGGCCCUCAAGCUCGCCUUCAGAGCCGCGGCUGUCGUGCGGCCAAGUGAGGAAGGAGCCCCAGAGGCUCCGGGGGCUGCGCCAGCAAAGAAGAAGCAGCUGUUCUCUCAAGACGACGCCGAGAUGAAACAGGUAUCGGUAGAUGAGGACGGGGCAUCAGGCGCCACCUUCACCAUAGGUGCCGGCCUCCCUUCGGAUCAGGAGGAGGCGUUGGUCAGCUUCCUGUGCAAGAACAAAGAUGUGUUCGCAUGGGAGCCUAAGGAUCUGGUCAGGAUCCCGAGGGGGAUAAUCGAACACCACCUGAGGGUGUGCCCCAACGUGUGCCCGGCGAAGCAGAAGGUGCGGCGGGAGUCCACAGAGAAGCACUCGUUCAUCGUCCAAGAGACCCGCAAGCUGCAAGAUGCUGGUGUCAUUCGGGAGGUGCGGUACCCAGAAUGGUUAGCGAACCUGGUCGUCGUCCCCAAGAAGGGCGGAAAGGAGCGCAUGUGCGUCGACUUCACCAACCUCAACAAGGCCUGCCCUCAGGACCCCUUUCCACUCCCACGUAUCGAUCAGAUUGUCGACUUCACCGCCGAAUGCGACAUGCUAUGCUUCCUGGACGCCUUCUCAGGCUAUCAACAAAUCAAGAUGACGGUGCAAGAUGUUGAGAAGACGGCUUUCCUGACCCCAUGUGGGGUGUAUUGCUACACCUGCAUGCCGUUUGGGCUGCGUAACGCCGGAGCAACCUUUCAGGGGCUGAUGCACAUCGCUUUGGGCCAGCAGCUUGGGAGGAACGCCGAGGCCUAUAUCGACGACAUAGUGGUGAAGUCUCGGGAGGCAAGGACCCUCAUGGAGGACCUGGAAGAAACAUUCGCUAGUCUGCGCAAGGUGGACCUGCGGCUCAACCCGGAGAAAUGUGUGUUUGGCGUCCCCUCCGGCAAGCUGCUGGGCUUUCUGGUGUCACAUAGGAGAAUCGACGCAAACCCAGAGAAGGUCAAGGCGAUAGAAAGGAUGAGCCCGCCUCAGACUCUCAAGGAAAUGCAAAAGCUGGCAGGCUGUGUGACUUCGCUUGGGCGCUUCAUCUCCAAGUUGGGGGAGCGCGCCCUCCCAUUCUUCAAGCUGAUGAAAAAGAAGGGGUCGUUCGAAUGGACUCCAGAGGCUAACGCGGGAUUCCAAGACCUCAAGAGGUACCUCACCAGCCCGCCGGUGAUGGUGGCGUCGCGUCCUCUGGAGCCUUUGGUGCUUUACCUGUCCGCCACGCCUCACUUUGCCAACGCAGCGCUGGUGGCUGUCCGGGAGGAGCGCCAAGCCAAGGGCCUGCCACGCGACGCCGCGCACCCGGCCAAGGCGGCGUAG
rnacentral:rRNA from 1 species